GAUGAACGCUAGCGGCAGGCCUAAUACAUGCAAGUCGAACGGUUGUAGUGAUACAAUAGUGGCGCACGGGUGCGUAACACGUAUGCAACCUACCUUAUAGACGGGGAUCGCCUUUGGAAACGGAGAUUAAUACCCGAUAGUAACCUUGAUUGGCAUCAAUUAAUGUUUAAAGAUUUAUCGCUAUAAGCUGGGCAUGCGUCCAAUUAGUUAGUUGGUUAGGUAAUGGCUGACCAAGACGAUGAUUGGUAGGGGAACUGAGAGGUUAAUCCCCCACACUGGCACUGAGAUACGGGCCAGACUCCUACGGGAGGCAGCAGUAGGGAAUAUUGGGCAAUGGAGGCAACUCUGACCCAGCCAUGCCGCGUGCAGGAUGAAGGCGUUAUGCGUUGUAAACUGCUUUUAUAUAGGAAGAAAUAGACCUUGCGAGGUAAGUUGACGGUACUAUAUGAAUAAGCACCGGCUAACUCCGUGCCAGCAGCCGCGGUAAUACGGAGGGUGCAAGCGUUGUCCGGAUUUAUUGGGUUUAAAGGGUGCGUAGGCGGUUUAUUAAGUCAGUGGUGAAAGACGGUCGCUCAACGAUUGCAGUGCCAUUGAUACUGGUAGACUUGAGUGAGAUUGAGGUAGCUGGAAUGGAUAGUGUAGCGGUGAAAUGCAUAGAUAUUAUCCAGAACACCAAUUGCGUAGGCAAGUUACUAAGUCUCAACUGACGCUGAGGCACGAAAGUGGUGGGUUAUCAAACAGGAUUAGAUACCCUGGUAGUCCACACUGUAAACGAUGAUACUAACUGUUGGCUUUCGGGUCAGUGGUACNAGGAAUCGUUAAGUUAUCCACCUGGGGGAGUACGCCGGCAACGGUGAACUCAAAGGAAUGACGGGGGUCCGCCACAGCGGUGGAGCAUGUG
rnacentral:rRNA from 1 species